GGCGCGCGGCGCUCCCUGCCCCCCAACCCCUCGGCCUUCCGCGCGUACGCGGCCCGGGGGCCCCUCGUGCCUCGGCGCUCGCAACCCCGCGCGUGAGGCGUCGGACGGCUGAGCGCGCCGGAACGGCGGGCGUGGCGGGGCGUGGCGGAGGCGCUCGCCUGUCCAUCUCUGCUGGCGAGGGCGGUUCGGCGUUCUUUCCCUCCUCACAGUGUUAGUCGGACCAGGUUGGCACUGCGGCGUCUGCACGAGGAGAAGGGAAGCAUAACAGUUUCAGAAAAAUCACUGUCUUUGGAGAGAGCAGAGAAUGAGAUGGGAAAAGUCUUCAAAUAGCUGCCUAAAAUGUAUCUCAUGAGGAAUUCAGCCAUCUCUGAAGGACUUCUUUGGGAAGAGAGUGUGAGUCAAGACCUCCAGAAGCCAGGAAGAAUGUGUAGAGAAAAGGACCCAGGACCAAGCCCUGAUGCGCUGAGCCCUGGAACACGCCACCAAAUGAAGGCUCUUAAAACAUUGGACAAAGGCCAAGGAACAGUGCUUUUUUAAUCAAUCUUUUUAAAUUAAUGAAUCCCCUAUCGUAACCCUAAUCCUGAAUUUCAAUGCAGCUACGUCGCACAGUCAAUUUUAAUCAUCCAGGGUUCGGUGCAGGGAAAGGGGAUAAAGAUAGAAGAAGAGAGGCACAAAGCUAACCGAUGUUGGAAUAUAAAACGGAGAUCAUUUCCACCCCGAGAUGCGCACCUGGCACCAGCCUGCCUCUCAGCUCCACUGUCCUGUCAGCGGUGGAGGACCUAGCCCAGGA